GGGGGAUUCAAGAUGGCUGCGGAUAUGUCGCAUGGCAUUUACCAGCCACAGUAGCUAUGAUUUCAUAAGGUCUUGUACUCACGGAGACCAGAGGAGCCAUGGGAUAUCCUGGAAUUGUGCUUACAGACAGUUGUUAACCACCAUGUGGAUGUUAGGAACCAAACUUGGGUUCCCUGGAAGAACAGCCAGUGCUUCUAACCACAGCAUCUCUCCAGCACCCCAGAGAAAGCCUUUUGCAGAACACCCAUGAUGCCGCUCACCAGGCACAUGCUCCCUGGAUGUCGAUGUUCUGUGCCGAUGCCCUCCCAGUGGCACAGAUGACUUAAUCGCGUGUUACCGUGUCUGCAUUCUCAUCAGGCUUCAGAAGACACUUAGCAGUUAGCUCUGGCUCUUAAUAACCCACUCACGUCAGUGGUUCUUACAGUCUAUUACCACAGUGGCCUAACUCACUGCCUGGGAAGGACCGCUGCCUCGACCGAGAGCUUGAUAUCUCCCUGUUCCGGGGCCUGGGAGAUAUCUUCCCUCCCUUCAUCCCAUGGCUUCUCUACAGCAAAGCGAUCUUCCUCAAACCGUCCUGACCCCUUUCUCUGCUCUGCUCUCUAGCUUACCUGAAUCGCAGCAUACCCUUCCCAAAUGCUUCUGUAUUUCUAUGCUUUAUUGGCUUCUUCUGGCUUCUGUUUAUUUCCAUGACAAUAUUUUUUUCUUUCUUUUUCUCUCUCUGUUUAAUAGAGGGUGCCGCUAUGUGGAAUUAAACUCAUGACCUUCUUGCAUCGGCCUCCCAAGUGCCUGGAUUACAGGCAUUAACCAUGCCUGCCCUGAAGAGGUUUUAAAGUUAACUUUCUCUUUGAGAAAACCAGAAGAACAAAAAAUUGUAGUUCAAAUAUUACUCCUUACCCACACGCUGUAGGCUCCUACAUCGAGGAUGACAGCUAAUUAUCUCUGUCUCCCUGGUAAACUUGCCUAGUGUCAGCUUAGAUUAAUAAACAACAUGGGGUUUAAU